rnacentral:rRNA from 1 species
UACGUAGGGUCCGAGCGUUGUCCGGAAUUAUUGGGCGUAAAGAGCUCGUAGGCGGUUUGUCGCGUCUGCUGUGAAAACCCGAGGCUCAACCUCGGGCCUGCAGUGGGUACGGGCAGACUAGAGUGCGGUAGGGGAGAUUGGAAUUCCUGGUGUAGCGGUGGAAUGCGCAGAUAUCAGGAGGAACACCGAUGGCGAAGGCAGAUCUCUGGGCCGUAACUGACGCUGAGGAGCGAAAGCAUGGGGAGCAAACGGG